AUUGAACGCUGGCGGCAGGCUUAACACAUGCAAGUCGAGCGGGGAAGUAUAGCUUGCUAUACGACCUAGCGGCGGACGGGUGAGUAAUGCUUAGGAAUCUGCCCAUUCGCGGGGGACAACAUUCCGAAAGGAAUGCUAAUACCGCAUACGCCUUAAGGGGGAAAGCAGGGUAUCAUAUGCACUUGCGCCUAUCGAUGAGCCUAAGUCAGAUUAGCUAGUUGGUGGGGUAAAGGCCUACCAAGGCGACGUUCUGUAGCGGGUCUGAGAGGAUGAUCCGCCACACUGGGACUGAGACACGGCCCAGACUCCUACUGGAGGCAGCAGUGGGGAAUAUUGGACAAUGGGCGAAAGCCUGAUCCAGCCAUGCCGCGUGUGUGAAGAAGGCCUUUUGGUUGUAAAGCACUUUAAGCGAGGAGGAGGCUACUUGGAUUAAUACUCUAGGAUAGUGGACGUUACUCGCAGAAUAAGCACCGGCUAACUCUGUGCCAGCCGCCGCGGUAA
rnacentral:rRNA from 1 species